CUUUGCAAAGAGGGUGGGCAAUGAAGGAAAAUUAUUCCAACACAAAUAGCUUUGAUGGAGAGAACUGCUAAGGACAUACCAACGAUAUCCAAUCAUGGAUUCGUAGCCCCCAAAUUAGCAUUUUAAUUUUAGCUGUAACAAAUGCCUAUUUGCUAGUCCACUGCUUCUCAACCAGUAUUGGGACACGACCCACAAAAAUGAGUGAAAAAUCAUCCCACGAACCAUCAUAUCCUACAAUCUUGUCUAAGGCCGGUGUGGUCUCUCAGACUGCAGACCUCAGCUAUCAGGAUUGAGGAGCAUUGUUUUAAGGGACUAUGCAGACAGAUCCUUGAAGUUCUGCUUCCCCGUCUCUCAGAGCCAGGACUCAAAAUGGAAAAUAAAUAGU